GACUGAAAAUCCGUUGGCUUUAUUGACCGUGAGGGUUCAAGUCCCUCUACCCCCA
rnacentral:tRNA from 4 species